UACGUAGGGUGCAAGCGUUGUCCGGAAUUAUUGGGCGUAAAGAGCUCGUAGGCGGUUUGUUGCGUCGGCUGUGAAAUCCCGAGGCUCAACCUCGGGUCUGCAGUCGAUACGAGCAAACUAGAGUGUUGCAGGGGAGACUGGAAUUCCUGGUGUAGCGGUGAAAUGCGCAGAUAUCAGGAGGAACACCGGUGGCGAAGGCGGAUCUCUGGGCCAUUACUGACGCUGAGGAGCGAAAGCGUGGGGAGCAAACAGG
rnacentral:rRNA from 1 species